rnacentral:rRNA from 1 species
CCUACGGGAGGCAGCAGUGGGGAAUAUUGCGCAAUGGGCGAAAGCCUGACGCAGCGACGCCACGUGAGGGAUGAAGGUCUUCGGAUCGUAAACCUCUGUCAGCAGGGAAGAACGGUCACUGUGCUAAUCAGCAGUGAAUUGACGGUACCUGCAAAGGAAGCACCGGCUAACUCCGUGCCAGCAGCCGCGGUAAUACGGAGGGUGCGAGCGUUAAUCGGAAUUACUGGGCGUAAAGCGCUCGUAGGCGGUAUGUCAAGUCAAGGGUGAAAUCCCCGCGCUCAACGUGGGAACUGCCUUUGAAACUGGCAGACUGGAGUGUGGGAGAGGAUAGUGGAAUUCCAGGUGUAGGAGUGAAAUCCGUAGAUAUCUGGAGGAACAUCAGUGGCGAAGGCGACAAUCUGGCACAUAACUGACGCUGAGGAGCGAAAGCGUGGGUAGCAAACAGGAUUAGAUACCGCAGUAGUC